AGCAGUAGCCGCGGUAAUACGAAGGGUGCAAGCGUUAAUCGGAAUUACUGGGCGUAAAGCGUGCGUAGGCGGUGAGUUAAGUCUGCUGUGAAAUCCCCGGGCUCAACCUGGGAAUGGCAGUGGAUACUGGCUCGCUAGAGUGUGUCAGAGGAUGGUGGAAUUCCCGGUGUAGCGGUGAAAUGCGUAGAGAUCGGGAGGAACAUCAGUGGCGAAGGCGGCCAUCUGGACAACACUGACGCUGAGGCACGAAAGCGUGGGGAGCAAACAGGAUUAGAUACCCGCGUAGUCCCUGUCUCUUAUACA
rnacentral:rRNA from 1 species